GUCAGCAUGGUGUAGUGGUUUGACUGUUGGACUAGUAUUCUGGAGAUCAGGGUUCAAUUCCCUGCUUGGCCA